rnacentral:piRNA from 1 species
UAGGAGCACUGAUGUGUCUUGGUUGGUAA